rnacentral:misc_RNA from 1 species
GGAUGAAGAACGUAGCGAAAUGCGAUAAGUAAUGUGAAUUGCAGAAUUCAGUGAACCAUCGAAUCUUUGAACGCACAUUGCGCCCGGCAGUAAUCUGCCGGGCAUGCCUGUCCGAGCGUCAUUUCUGCCCUCGAGCGCGUCCAGCAUCUAGGUGCUGCGGCCGCCCGGCGUUGGGGCACUACGGGAAGCCUCGUGCUAUCCCCCGUAGGCCCCGAAAUGAAGUGGCGGUCCUGCCGCGGCGCCCCCUGCGUAGUAUUACAGCUCGCUUCGGGACCCGGUGGAGGCCUGCCGUCAAACCUUACUCUCUAAGUUUGACCUCGGAUCAGGUAGGGUUACCCGCUGAACUUAAGCAUAUCAAUAAGCGGAGGA